rnacentral:rRNA from 1 species
CAGUAGCCGCGGGAAUACGUAGGGCGCAAGCGUUAAUCGGAAUUACUGGGCGUAAAGCGUGCGCAGGCGGUUCGGAAAGAAAGAUGUGAAAUCCCAGAGCUUAACUUUGGAACUGCAUUUUUAACUACCGGGCUAGAGUGUGUCAGAGGGGGGUGGAAUUCCACGUGUAGCAGUGAAAUGCGUAGAUAUGUGGAGGAACACCGAUGGCGAAGGCAGCCCCCUGGGAUAACACUGACGCUCAUGCACGAAAGCGUGGGGAGCAAACAGGAUUAGAUACCCCAGUAGUCCCUGUCUCUUAUAC